UAAAAAAUUGGGCCAUUGGUGGUUCAGAAACUAACCCUGUUUUUUCUUCAAUUUCUUUUUCCUUUUCUUUCUUAUUCUCUCUUUGUUC
rnacentral:ribozyme from 13 species